GACGAACGCUGGCGGCGUGCUUAACACAUGCAAGUCGAACGGAAAGGCCCUGCUUUUGUGGGGUGCUCGAGUGGCGAACGGGUGAGUAACACGUGAGUAACCUGCCCUUGACUUUGGGAUAACUUCAGGAAACUGGGGCUAAUACCGGAUAGGAGCUCCUGCUGCAUGGUGGGGGUUGGAAAGUUUCGGCGGUUGGGGAUGGACUCGCGGCUUAUCAGCUUGUUGGUGGGGUAGUGGCUUACCAAGGCUUUGACGGGUAGCCGGCCUGAGAGGGUGACCGGCAACAUUGGGACUGAGAUACGGACCAGACUCCUACGGGAGGCAGCAGUGGGGAAUAUUGCACAAUGGGCGGAAGCCUGAUGAAGAAACGCCGCGUGCGGGAUGACGGCCUUCGGGUUGUAAACCGAUUUCGCCUGUGACGAAGCGUGAGUGACGGUAAUGGGUAAAGAAGCACCGGCUAACUACGUG
rnacentral:rRNA from 1 species